rnacentral:tRNA from 1 species
AUCACUGUAGCGCAAUUGAUAGCACGUUGGACUUCUAAUCCAAAAGUCGUGGGUUCAAAUCCCACCUGGGAUG